GGGAAUGAAUUUAGAAAUCUGCCGUUUCUCAAAAUUAUAAAUUUAUCUAAUAAUCGUAUAAAAUUAUUAAAAUUGUAUUUUAACACGUUUAAUAACGUGCGCGUUAUUUUACUACAUCACAACGAAAUCGAGGUUAUAAAUAAAGAAAGUUUUCAAGAAAUUCGGUAUGUGAACACCUUAGAUUUGAGUUAUAACAAAAUUAAAAAGAUCGCGUCACGAUCAUUACUAUCAUUUAACAAUUUGGAAAAUUUGAAUAUUUCAUUUAAUAAGCUGCGUAGCUUAAGCUCCGAUCAAAUUAGAAGCUCUAUUAAUUUAUAUUCACUGAAUGCUUCUUACAACGAGAUAGAAAUACUCAAUAUUACCGAUUUCUUUUCCUCACUUUCCGUAAAAUAUUUUGAUAUUUCGAAUAAUUAUAUAUGUACUUUGUUAUCAUCUAUUUUCAAUCAAUUCUCAUACGUCUAUAUACAAAACAAUUACUUAAGUUGUGAAAAAGAAACAGAAAUCAAAAAGGAUUUACAUAUAAAAGAUGACAAUUUUUUCGGUAGCACCAGCUGUAAACAAUAUAAUAAAAAUAGAACAUUCAUCGAUAAAGAAACUAAAUGUAAGUUGAAUGGAAAUGAAGGUAACGAAGUAAUUGUAACCGUGAUCACCGUUAUAAUUAGCGCACCUCUAAUAAUCAUUUUAUUGUAUUGUGGUUUCGUUAAAAAACGAACUUUAUGUCGUAAUACUUAUUUCGAAGACCCAGGCGUCUAUGGUGAUCAAUGGAAGUCCCCUACCAAUGCCGAUAGAGCCUUAGACAUCAUCGAUUCUGUUGUACACGCACUUACUUCGUCGUCCGAUGCAGAUAAUGAUAAUUACAGUGGAGAGAAUCAAUGACAAUUUAAUUUUGGAUUUGAAAAUAUUCUCAACAAAUCUACCUUCGUUAUUGGCAUAGUAUGUCACCUUGGGUAUUAGUACCGGUUUUUUUUGUAUUAGGUGUCUGCCUCAUUGUUAUAAUAUAUGCAAUAUGCAUGGGUUGCUCAGGAUACAAACCAUUCCAAUCUAAAGAGAAUCAAACCCACCAACAAGACACUAAACCUUCCAGUAAUGAACGUCCUUCAUAUUAUCAUGAAGAUAAUGAAUAUAAUCACCAUUUCGAACGUCAUAGCAGUAAUAGUGAUGAUGCAGAAUCAGUACGUCUUAACGACGAUGUUAGUAAGAAACACGACGAUACCGAGCAUACUGUUUCCACAGAUGUAGCUGUAAAUAUCGCAAGCGGCUUUACAGAACUUACAUCGUUUGCAGGUGGAAACACCGGUGGGGAUAGUCAUGUCAGUUUUUCGCAUCAUUCUACCGAAGUUGGUAAUGAAUCGUCGCAUAUUUCGACUCCAGGAGAUACCUUUGGAGGUUCUACAUAUGAUUCUGGUGGUGGUGGUACCAGCAACGACGCUGGGGGAAGUAGCUAUAUCGAGUAAACUAAAUUUACAGUUUAUUAUCAAUUUUGAGUUAGGAUUAUUUAUUACAUAUGUAAAAUGCAUAAUCAAAUAUUAUAACUCACUCAGUAUAAAAAUCUAUCUAUAAUAUGGAAUAUGAUUUGAUGUAUUUCAUAUUACUUGGAGACUUACGUAUCAUAUAUACGAUAAAAAUUAACUCAACCUAACCCAACUUAACCUAACUUUUCUCUGCUAGUAAUGCACGCAUCAAAAUUAUUCAAAUACUCAUAACAAGAAGCAUUUCUAGAAGACUUCUUUCGGAAUGGUACCUAUUUGCUUUGUUGUAGGUGACUAAAUGGCAGAAAUGAUUCUCUUUUGGCACAUUUUUAAUUUGUGGUUAGAGGCUGCUAAACCGUCCUCCCCAAAUAAAAUAGUGAAAAAGUCGCCUUAUCCGCGGCUAAUCCAGAUAAUAAAUGGAAACCAAGGAAUCUGACAGUUCACCUUAGAGUCAUUAACGUAUAAAUAGUAACAAACCAAGAGGCAAAACAAUUAGCAUAAAGGACACAGACAUCCUAUUUGAAAUGGAAAUCAAUGACCGUCAAUCAUGGGCCAAAAAAGAUCUUCUGCAAGCUUGAAAUGCAUCUUUAUGGUAUACAGAUGGUUCGCAGCUGGCGCAAGAAGCUAGGUAGAGGUACUAGCAAUACGUAGAUACUCAGGAGUGUUUAGAUAGAAAUCUCUUCAGAAAGCACAUUCUCUCCGAUGUCCAAGCGGUCUUGAAAGUCCUGAAAUAAACAAAGUAACCCUAAUAUGGCUCUGGUUGCCAAAAAGGAGCAACGACUCCAAAUGACUCUUACCGGAGGAACAUUCCUUGCCUCAGACAAUCCAAAAUAGUCAUAACCAUAUCAGAUAAGAAGACUGAAAAGACUGCAAAUGUCCUGUACAUUGCAUCUAUUGCCUUGAGAAGAGAUAUAUAAGAUUCCCAGAAAAUAGCCUCUUUUGGAAGGAGCCUGUGUAUUUUGUAAGCAGAGCAAUGAGAUACAGAAUCCCGUAUAAAAUAUCUUUUAGGUAUAGGUGCAUAGUGGCUGAAAAGCUCAAUCUACAAUCUACAACGCGAAUUUGAAUAGUCAAGAUUUUUGGUGGGCUAAAGCCGUUGGUCCAUUCUUAGGUCCCUUUCCUACGCUCUAAACGUUCACUCAUUUUUUGUACAUUAAAAACUGUUUUUGAGGUCGAUGGACGUCCUAACAGGUCUUUGCCAUUGAUUCAUUUUUAGACAAAAAUUGUAGUUAUAAACAGGUUUUAAAGUUACAAGCCGGAACAGGCUCAAACUAUACUAAACUGCUAUAAAAUUUUUGUCACUGUAUUUCUUCGUCACACCUCGUAUGUUAAAGUUAUAUCGUAAACUGUAACUGGUCGGAAUAUAAGUUUCAGCCAAUAUUUGAAAAGAAUUGAUGUUUAGAUAUCAGCGGCUAACGAGCUAGAAACGUUCUGUAUAUAACUCGUUAUUCUAUUUGCUUUUCCUGAUAAAAAUUUCCUAUCUCUUGUAUACGUUUAAUGUAUAUGUUUACUUUUCAAAUAUUCUCUUUUCUUCCUUGAAAUAGAACAUAAAUACAUAUUUAAUGGAUUUUAUACACAGUGGGUAACAGAAAACAGUCUAGAUGAUUUACAAUAUUUUAUUGUUAAGGGUACAAAUCUUUGCAAUACAAAUAUCUGUAAUUUGUAGUACUUUUACAUCAAAUACUUAUAGUAACUGAUAGUGAAUAUAUGUAGGCAGAGUUUACUAAUAAAUCAAAGCUAAAAUAUUUCAAACUAUAUAUUUUAAUUCAUAAAUGAAAAUGUUUGAAUAGAAAUCCUGUAAAAUGUGCCUUUUAGAACACGUUCAAUCUAGUUAGGACUGGUUUAUGUAUAGAACAAAUCCGAACCAAUUAAAUAAUUUGUGUUUGUAUAUUUUUAACUACUUUGUUAUAUUAAAUUCAAACCAUGAACAUUUUGUUUUUUAUUUAUUGCGGAUACUUAAUUUCCUUGGAAGCUUUCAAAUCAACUUAUAUUAGUACUUUAUAUUUAUAAAAGGUACAUUUAUAAUAAAUAAUAAAUAAAUCGUGCAUAAUAAAUUUCGAUCUACCCUCGUAUACCCGAAUUCUCAAAUAUCAGAUAUUUAAAAUUCAUUUACGAAACUCGUAACAUAACCAAACAAACCAAGAGGUCAGUUCUGUUUUCAACAAGUAAUACGACAGACGAUUUGUUCCCGCAUGUCUAUAAAUAUAAGAAUUACAAUAGGCUUUUACUGAAAAAAUGUGAUAUACAUAUUUUAUCAAUUAAGAAGCUGAAAUGGAUGAAGUCACGUCGAUAUUUAUUAUUCUCUUCAUCCUAAUGGUUAUUAUUAUAAUAAUAAUUGAGGUAUGUAAAGCCAAUAGACAAUCUACAUACCAACACACUUACAGCAUCCCCGUGCGUCAACAACCCGCAAAAUUUGUACCACAAUAUAGAGUUUACACACCUUUCAACACCAUGUAUGCAAGAAACCAAAACACAACUGUCCAUCAUGUUCAUCAUGUCGUGGAUGAUUCUGAUCAAAUGUCUGCCAUCGACUAUACAUUGUCUGUUCCAGAUGAUACCGAUGAUACCGUUGCAUGUGAUACUGGUACUGGUACUGGUAUAGCUGGUACUGUGGCAGACAUGUUUAUGUCUUCACACAACAACGAAAGUUCCGCAUUUGAUUAUAGUACAAAUGAUGACGGUGGUACUUACGAUUACAAUGGAGGAGACAGUAAUGAAGAUUAUUCUUCUGGUAUUGCAAGUGGCGUUGUUGCGAGUCUUCCUAGCGCCGUUGAGAAUAUGUUUUCUUCUACCAAUAAUGAGGAAUCUUAUGCAUAUGACAGCGGGAACAAUACUUAUGAUGGUGGAAAUAAUGAGACGACGUAUGAUGAAUGUAUUGAGGAUACGACGACAUAUGAUGACGGUGAUGGAGAAGUUAUUGAAGAUUAAGUUGUUAAUGUUCUAUUACGUUGAAUAUGUUGCCAAAAAAUUAUACGUGCAUGUGGCGAAAUAUAUUUAAAGAUAAAAUUUUGUAGUUUUUUAUAUAGUAUGAAUACAAUUAUAUAAAUAUAUGAAAUUUCUGAAAAA